AUGAAAAGUCAAGUGGAAAAUUUACACAAAGGCGCUCCCGGCUCCUGCUUUUCCGGCGGCGUUGGAAUUGCUUUAUUCCUUCAUUCCUUAAAGCGGGAUUUCAAAGCUUUCAAACAUUUUAUGUCUAACACAAAUCCAUUUAAUUCCCACCUGGAUUUUUUUCCAGCGUUAAUUUCCUCGUUAAUUACCGAGGAUAUUUGGAUUAAACACAAUCCAGCUCCUUCUCCCGCUGAUCCAUCUCCAUCUCCUUCCCGGCGCGCCCAAAGUCCUACCGGGAGCUUCCCGUGCCACCAAAACCUCCGGACCUAUUCCCUAAUUCCCCGAAAAGCUGCCUCCGCUGGUAUUCCCGAGCCAAGAUCUGGGCUCUGGCCCAUGGUUUUUCCAUGGAUCCUGAAUCCCUUUUGUUGUGGAGCCCCUUCUUCCAGCCAGGUAAAAGCACAGCCCUUCCCUGAUUCCAUGGAUCCAGCAAAAGCUGCCUCUGCAGGCAUUCCCACACCCUUCGCUUGGCAUCUUUGGGAACAGCCAGGAAACCCUUUUGGGACAAGGAAACCCUUUGGGGGCAAGGAAAACUCUUGGAGUAAGGGAAAAGAAACCCUCUUGGAUAAGGGGAAAACACUCUUGGAAAAAGGGAAACCUCUUGGGGCAAGGAAACAUUUUAGGGAAAGGAAGCGCUUUUGGGCAAGGAGUAGUUCUUGGAUAAAGGGAAAAUCCUUUUGGAUAAAGGAAAACCUCUCAGGGCAAGGAAUUCGGUCCUCAUUCCAAGCAAGCUGCAGGAAUGCCACAUUCCAAGGGAUAUUUCCAGCCUGGGCUGGAGAUGCAGAGCUGCCAAAUGCAGAAUUCCAUAUUUAUUUAGGGCACAGCGAGCCUGGGAUGUGAAAUCCCUAAAUAUGCAUCGUCCUUCCUGGGACUUCUAUCUGGGAGACAGAUGCGAAAUACUGGGAAUAUCCUUGCUGGGUACCUCUGCAUCCAGGCCCUCAUUCCCUGAAAAUCCAGGGAAAUUUCUGCCACUUCUAGUCCAGGCCACCUCUCGUCUUGCUCAGGGCAGGGAAAUGCAGGAAUUCUAAAUGAAUCGGGAGCAAGGCCAGCAGGGAUGAUCCAUCCUUUGCCAUUCCCACCUUUUGUCCUGUUGGUUCUGGGAGCUGGGAAUAGCCCUGGGCUGUUGGAAAGAAUCCUGAAAGGAUUUUAGGAGGGAAGAGGAAAACAGUUGUGGAUUUGGUAAUGCCAGAGCUCCGUUGGUGUCUCAAAAAUCCAUGGAAUCACUGGAUUUUUGGUGGUUUUUCCCCCCCUUCUCCCACUUUUUCCUGCAGGGUGGUCAGACUGGAAGGCAGGAGGCUCCUGCUGUUCCUGGGCUGCCCACAGCUCAUCCCACAUCUCUCUGAAAUCCCAGAGCACCUGGAUAUUCCCUGAUACUCUGAUACUGCAUUCCUGGGAUGGCCCAUCCCAAAAUCCCUCUGGAAGUGGUGGGUUCAUUGAUUCUAUGAAUUCCCAUGGAAUAUCCCAAGCUGGAAGGGAUGAGGCUCACCAGGCCCAUCCCAAUUCCCAUUUCAAAGGGAGAUCCAACUGGAUUUCCAUUCCUAGGAUGGUUCAUCCCAAAAUCCCUCAGGGAAGAGGUUUUAUGUCUUUACCAUAGUUGGGCUCCUUAAUUCCAUGAUUUCCCAAGGAAUAUCCCAAGCUGGAAGGGGUGAGGCUCACCAAGCCUAUCCCUAUUCCCAUUUUGAAAGGCAGAUCCAGCUGGAAUUCCCUUUCCAUGCUCCACCAGCUCCAACCUCAUCCCAAAAGCAGGAUGGGUUAAUUAAUGAGACGUUAAAGAGGCGGAAUGACACUUCCAGGAGCUCAUUCCUGAGCCACUCUGCCGGAGACAAAGAGAAGGUGCCGGCGGUGCCGGGUAAUUUGCGCGGCGUUCCCGGGGAAUAAAUUUAGGGAAGCAAAUAUCGUUAUGCGGGAU
ensembl:lncRNA